GAAGGUUUCUUCCAGCCUUGAUGAUGCUGUGAUCCCACUGAGCUGCCACUGCACCAUGUGAGCUCUGGAGAUUCUGCAGCAUCCACCAGCAAGCAGAGCUCUGAAGGGGGACCCAGGAAGAGAAUGAUCACCCCGUGAAAUACAGCCAGAUGUUUUAUAGCUGCACAACUGCCUUCUAAAAUUGCCUGUAGUCCCUGGAAGUUUUGUGAUGUAAUGGCCAACUGGAAUUAUGCUGCCUGUUGGAAAGAGAUUUUCCAUUUUGUAACCUGAUCUCUCCAAAGUGAUCACAGCCAAGAUUCCUCUUCAGCAUAUGCAGCAUCCUCUGCCCCUUAGGCUGGAGCUCCUGAAGACUUUUGCCAGUGCAGAGCUAUGCCAUCAGUGGUCUGGUCUGUAAUGGAUCACAGAGAGUUAAUUUCUUUGCUCAAGUUAGGAAAUGGUUUUAUUUUUUUUUUAAUGUUGAUGUCUUCCUUUGUCCCCAAGUAUUAAAAUCUUAAAAACACCUCAUUUUGGGAGCAGAGGUAAUGGAAUUGUAGUAUCUACUGCAAGCACAAAUUAAACUGUAUGUGAAAGUAGGUAUUUACAUUGUUUUCCUUCCCACCAAAGCAAGCCCACUUCAAAUGAAGGACAGACAGAGUGUGUGCAGCCCAAUGAGAGCUGAAAAAGGGAAAACUGCUCCAUAGAACUGUGCUGAUUAGUUUCCAAGGGCUCUCAUUUGAGUUGUAGAGAUGUGUGCCCAAGAUUGAUGCAUGGAUGCUGGCAAAUAGGAGAGUGUUUGGGAAGGGGUUACAGGGAAGAUUUGAAAAUCAUGUAAUGUAAAGGAGACAGAGACUUUCAAUCUCUUCACCUUGUUUUUGAAAAAAAAAAAAAAAGAGUAAAUGAUUACUUAAAGAAUAGAUCUGUGAUAAAA